AACGAACGCUGGCGGCAUGCCUAACACAUGCAAGUCGAACGAGACCUUCGGGUCUAGUGGCGCACGGGUGCGUAACGCGUGGGAAUCUGCCCUUGGGUUCGGAAUAACUCAGAGAAAUUUGAGCUAAUACCGGAUGAUGACGAAAGUCCAAAGAUUUAUCGCCCAAGGAUGAGCCCGCGUAAGAUUAGCUUGUUGGUGGGGUAAUGGCCCACCAAGGCGACGAUCUUUAGCUGGUCUGAGAGGAUGAUCAGCCACACUGGGACUGAGACACGGCCCAGACGGCUACGGGAGGCAGCAGUGUGGAAUGUUGGACAAUGGGCGAAAGCCUGAUCCAGCAAUGCCGCGUGAGUGAUGAAGGCCUUAGGGUUGUAAAGCUCUUUUACCAGGGAUGAUAAUGACAGUACCUGGAGAAUAAGCUCCGGCUAACUCCGUGCCAGCAGCCGCCGUAAAAC
rnacentral:rRNA from 1 species